rnacentral:rRNA from 1 species
UACGUAGGGUGCGAGCGUUAAUCGGAAUUACUGGGCGUAAAGCGUGCGCAGGCGGUUUUGUAAGCCAGAUGUGAAGGCCCCGGGCUCAACCUGGGAAUGGCAUUUGGGACUGCAAGGCUUGAGUGCGGCAGAGGAGACUGGAAUUCCUGGUGUAGCAGUGAAAUGCGUAGAUAUCAGGAGGAAUACCGAUGGCGAAGGCAGGUCUCUGGGCUGACACUGACGCUCAUGCACGAAAGCGUGGGGAGCAAACAGG